AGGAACUUUUGGAAACACAAGGCACAAAGGAAAAAAUACCUUCAUAUUUCUCCUUUUCCCAUCUCCCCAGAGACUUUUUUCUCCUUAUUUGUUGGCAUAUGUCUUUCCAUACUCUUCAAUGCAUAUAUAUUCACAGGAUAACAUUAUAUGUGGUAUUUUAGAACCACAUUUCUAACAUUCCAUUUAUCAUGUUUUGUAUUUGCAUAGUAUUCCAUUUCGUAGUUGUACCAUAAUAUCUUUAGACAAUGCUUGUGGUCAAAUAAUUUCCCCCAAUAUUUUACUGUUACAAAAAAUGUUUCGAUGAACAUUUUGGUCUAAAGUUGAUGGAUCAAGGAAUAUAGGGGUCAUUAUAAGUUAACAAAUACAGCGUCAGAUCAUGGUACUACUCUGCUGAAAAUCCCCCUUGGCUCCCAUCUUACUCAGAGCCAAAGCUAAGGUCUUUACCAUGACCUAAAAUACCCUCAGCCAUCCGGAGUGUGCAUGUAUGCAUACACACAGACAUGUACAUGCCACUCACUCCUGCCUCUCUAGCUCAUCUUCUCCUGCUCACCCCUGACUUGUUCCCCUGAAGCUAUUCCUGGAAUACACCAGGCAAGCAAGCCCCUGUGUCAGGGCCUUGGCACUUCUUCCUUCUGCCUAUAACAAUUCCUCCAAGUAUCCACAGGCUUCCUCUUUCACUUCCUUUGUUGCGUUGGCUCAGAUAUCGCCUUAUCUGAGUGCCCUUCCUUAACUAUACAAUACAAAAUAAGUUCAUGAAUCUGCCCUCACCCCUACAUUCCCUGUUUCCUUUACCUUGUUCUAUUUUUCUAUAACAUUUACCUGACAAAUCUUAUGUUUGUUUAUUGUCACUCUUCUUCCAGAAUGUAAGCACUGUGAAGUCAAGGACUUUGUUAGUUUUGAUCACUAUUGUAUCCAUGGGUUCUAAAGCACUGCCUGGCACAUAGUUGGCACUCAGUAAGCUAAGAAAUAAUAAGACUAACAUAUUGGGAUUGUGGCAAGGAGUUUCUGGUGAUGGCUGGUUAUGAAAACUUGAAGAAACAAAAUAAUGGCUUUUUUUAAGUGAAGAACUAAAAAAACAUUGAACUUCCAGGCCAGUUUUUGGAUAAAAGUCUAUAACCAGGGAGGGAAAUGGAAUACUGGAACAAAAAGCUGCCUGUGCUGAGACAGCAGUUGCUGAUACCACAAACACUUGUCUGCUGUUUCUGUGGCCUGGCUGAGCCAAGAAAACAUGUUAAAGCACAGAGCCCACGCAAGACAGUGUGCUUGCAGGAGACCCUACCAACAGGAAUCGGAUAACAAGGAGCUAAAGUAUUGGCUGGAGUUGGCGAUGACUCAGCAGAUCAAGGCUGGAAGACUCAUUCUCGUCAGGUGGUUGACGUUGGCUGUCAGUUGGAACCUCACCUGGGGCUGUUUGCCAGAACACCUACACAUGGCAUGUCCAUGGAGCUAUUUGACUUCCUCACUGCAAUGGCUGGGUUCCAAGAGCAGUUAUCCCAAGAGAACAAGGCAGAAGUGCAUGACUUUUAGAAUCUUGUCUCACAAGUCACACAGAGUCACUUCCACCAUCCCCUGUUGGUCAAGGAGGACAUGAAGGUCUUCCUAGGAGCACGGGGAGAAGACAGACUUCUACCACCUGUUGGAAGGAGUGUCAGUGUUACAUAGCAAGAGAAGCACAUGGAAUGGGAUGUAUUGUGAUGCCCAUCUUUGGAACAGACAAUUUGGCAUAUCUGUGAAAAUUAAAAGUCUGAUUUGGAUAUAACAAAUGAGACUGAUUAGCAAAGAUGUCUAAUUAUAAAAGUUAAAGUUAAAUUCCAAAUAUACUUUUUUUUUUUGCCAAAGACCAAAGACUAGGUUAUAGCCAAGGAAUUCUGGCUCCCUAUAUCCCUAGGCUUUUUUUAUUUUUAUUUUUAUUUCUUUUCUGAGAUGGAGUCUCGCUGUGUCACCCAGGUGCAGUGGCACUGUCUCGGCUCACUGCAACCUUCACCUCCUAGGUUCAUGCGAUUCUCCUGUCUCAGCCUCCUGAGUAGCUGGGAUUACAAGCGCACACCACCACACCUGGCUAAUUUUUUGUAUUUUUAGUAGAGAUGGGGUUUCACUAUGUUGCCCAGACUGGUCUUGAACUUCUGACCUCAUGAUCUGCCUGCCUUGGCCUCCCAAAGUGCUGGGAUUACAGGCGUGAGACACCGUACCCAGCCCCUAGGCUUUAUUUCUAAGGUUAUCAAUACCUUCUUCCCCUUGAUCCUUAUUUUUUAUGUGAUCAACAUAAUACAUGAGAUCAACCAGUUCAAG
rnacentral:lncRNA from 1 species